GAUGAACGCUGGCGGCGUGCCUAAUACAUGCAAGUCGAGCGAACAGACGAGGAGCUUGCUCCUCUGACGUUAGCGGCGGACGGGUGAGUAACACGUGGAUAACCUACCUAUAAGACUGGGAUAACUUCGGGAAACCGGAGCUAAUACCGGAUAAUAUGUUGAAUCGCAUGGUUCAACAGUGAAAGACGGUCUUGCUGUCACUUAUAGAUGGAUCCGCGCCGCAUUAGCUAGUUGGUAAGGUAACGGCUUACCAAGGCAACGAUGCGUAGCCGACCUGAGAGGGUGAUCGGCCACACUGGAACUGAGACACGGUCCAGACUCCUACGGGAGGCAGCAGUAGGGAAUCUUCCGCAAUGGGCGAAAGCCUGACGGAGCAACGCCGCGUGAGUGAAGAAGGUCUUCGGAUCGUAAAACUCUGUUAUUAGGGAAGAACAAAUGUGUAAGUAACUAUGCACGUCUUGAAGGUACCUAAUCAGAAAGCCAAGGCUAACUACGUG
rnacentral:rRNA from 1 species